AGUUCCCUCAUGUUUGAGAUGUUAUUUUCCUUUACUUUUGAAGAAUAUCUGGCUGGGAAUGAAAUUUCUAGAUCACCCUUUUACUGCCUGGAUCCUCUAGACCUGCUUUACUGUUACCUGGCAAUGAAAGUUCUCAUGGAAAGUGAACUCAGGUUCUUAUGCACCACACACCAAUAGGGCAUGGGAAAGUGCCAGAGAAGCACGAGUGGCAGCUGCGUAAAGGGUGAAGAAAUUGACGAGGGAAGAAGUGUUGCCUUGUUGCUCCAGGCACUGACUUUCACAGUGACAGCCACUGGCAUUCUCCUAAUGACUCUCUACUUCCUUGGUUCCUGAGACAGUUCUGAACAAGUAACAUAUGGUGGCUGAGGUGAUGUGUUUCAGUUGAGUGAAUCUUGUAGCUUUAUCCUGUGCUUGAUUCAGCAGAGCUGUGGAUGAUUUUUGCAGGACUAUGAAAAAUGGCUGAAUUCUCUCUUCCUCCAAUCUGAAAUUAAUGACUAGGAACAUUACCAACACGGACGGGCAGGAAUUCAGGAAAAACUUCUUGAAAGAGGUGUGGUUUGAUGGGAGUGCAGAAGUUAUUUCAUCUCUGGGCCUGUUUCUUCUUCUGUAAAAUAUUGAGAAAUGAUAGGACCACCUAUCUUUCUGGGUUGUCGUGAGGAUUACAUGAGAGAGUGUGUGAGAAGCCUGGCACUUGUAGGUACUGUAAGUAAGUAUUCAUUAUGAUCCCUUUUGGCCACUUUCCUUAGGAUUUAAAAACAAAAGCUUCUUAACUCUUUCCUGAGGUCAGGGAAGUCCUGAAACCUAUGAACGUGGAAUCCAGCUAGCCUUCUCAUUUUUGUGUGAUGAGCUGCAUGAAAUUAAGGUGUAGGUAAUUUCUCAAACAGGUGAUUCUGCUAUAAGAGAGUUAAUGGUUUAAGAGUGAAUGGUUGGUGGGACCUCCCUGGUCGUCUAGUGGUAAAGAAUCUGCCUUGCAUUGCAGGGGAUGAGGGUUCGAUCCCUGGUCAGGGAACUAAGAUCCCACAUGCCGUGGGGCAACUAAGUCUGCAUGCCACAACUACUGAGCUCACAUGCCUCAACUAGAGAGCCUGCAUGCUGCAAACUACAGAGCCCAAAUGCUCUGGAACCCACGCGCCACAACUACAGAGCCCACGUGCCCUGGAGCCUGCGUGCCACAACUAGAGAAGAGAAAACCCGCAUGCCGCAACUAGAGAAAAACCCGCGCACCACCACAAAGAGCCUGCAUGCUGCAAUGAAAGAUCCCGCAUGCCUCAAUAAAGAUCCUGCAUGCCGCAACUAAGACCCACCACAGCUGAAAAAAAAAAAAAAGUGAAUUGUUGGCCCCAUGCACAUCUAGACUAUAAGGAAAAGUAAAGUGUUAAUCCAGUGUUGAGCUUUUUGUUCUUUCCUGUCUCUGCCUUACUCUCUCUGCAGCCACCUUCCUCCUUAAGUACACCGCUUAUGUCAGUUGUUCCAGAGACAAGGGCCACCAUGUUUCCAGCUAACCUCAUACAUGAUAACACCCAAGAUGUGCAUUUUAAAAGUUUGUUUAGAUAUGAUUGAUCACCUCAGGAAAGUCGUGUGAUUACUAGGUAAUAAUCUUAUUAGAAGAACCUAAGAAAGCAGCAUUCUUGGUGAUUUACCCUUGUUUCAUUGGCUCAAGCACUGAUCUCAAACCUGGUUGAUCCAUUUUAGUGAAAAGGUUAAAGUGAAUCCACUUUCAAAUGUUAUAGCUUAACUAGAAAUAAUUUUAAGAGCUCACAAUCAGGUAUCUGUAAACUUUAAUAUUUAUUUACUUAUUGAUUUAAAUCAACUGAGAUUAUGUACUCCUCUCUUUGGGCACGUAUGGCGCAUAUUGGUAUUUGGUAUUCUCUGCCAAGGAUUCCUUUCUUCACUGGUAUGUCCAGCCCUGUGAUAGUCACGGUGUCUUUUAAACUUGCCACCUCCCUGUGAAAAUUUCCUUGCUCAUAUCUUAGUGCCUUCCUGUUUUGGCUCUAAGUUAUGACCUAGAUUGUCAUCUCUAUUUCUCACCUCCUCUGUUGGUGGAGAAUGAGAUCGCUGUCUCUGAUUGUCCUGUGAUUCUCUUAGUGUCAGGAACAGCUAAUAGUUUCCAUGAGUGUUACAGUUCUUCUAAGCUGCUUGGAAUAAAAUGGGGUAUCAUUUCCUAGAGGAUGAUGACACAGCUUUCUGGGGCUGUCAAAACACUUUAAUUCAUUGAGAAGAAGCAUUUGACGCAUAUUGUGAGAGUUAUGCAUACAUGAAGAGAAGACUAUCGAACUCAAUGGGUUAACAUCAUCUUUCAGAUAAACUUCAUUUUUCUCUCCCCUCUUUUAGCCCUUGUGCCAGUGAAACGAAAGAUAUUUUUUAAAAAACCACGACAUGAAAAGAGGGAAGUAUUGUUUUUGUAAAGCAACCCUAAAACACAGCUAUUGAAAGAAGCAAUGUUUAAAAAAUUUAGAAUAGACCCAUCUAAAUUCUCAGUUUAAAAUGACUUACUAAUACAAAUACCUAGAAGGCUUUAAAAAAUUGUUAAUGCUGUUGAAUAAAUGUUGAAUGAGAUAAAUGAGGUGUCUUGAAAUGGGGCUAUGAUUUAUUAUAAUCAUUUGUGGAAUUUUGGUUUCCCAUUUUAAAUGGUAUACCUCUUGCAGGCAGGAAUGGGCUUCAUUGUCCUCGUCAUGGAUAAGGGAAGAGUAAAAUCCCCUGUCUUUACAAGGAAACUUGUUGGAUUUCUGGCUCCUCCUUGACCAGCAGUUUCAGGUCUGUUUGUUUAUUGGUUUAUCUUUGCCUUUUCUUUUUCUUCAGGCCGUUCGGAAUCACCCUUUUAUAUAGCAGAUGGGUUUUUUCUUUUUAAUAUAAUCUGAAGGUUUUAGAUAUAGAACUAUAGGGGAUUUUUUUGCUCAUUUGUAUUUAGUUUUUUGACAACCAUUUUUAUUUUAAACCUGUCUCUCUUUAUGAUAUACUUUUAGUUUUUAAUCAUUUUUAUUUACUAUAUGAUCUGAGAUAUUCAUAUUUUUCCAAGUGUUUAUAUAAUUAAGUCAUGAUUUAAUGAGUUAUCCCUUUAAGAUUCACUAUCUAUUUGACUCCUCUUCUAGGAGAUACAGAUAUCAGUAUGCUUUCUCUUUAACCUACUUCCCCUUCUCUUCUCUUCUAUCACCAGAGGCAGAUUAUAUUAUUAUUUCUAAAGUACUAUGGUCUAUAACAUUUACAUUCUGUUCUACUUAUAACUCUCACAGCUGAGUAGUGUCUUUACAAUGAUUUCUCCACUUACCUCUAAGUUUAUAGGAUAUCAUACUAUAAUAGUUGUUUUAAAGAAGAGCUCAAAGGAGGUGGUGUUCCUGAUUUCUUGCAUGUUUCGUAUGAUCUGUCAAUUACUUUUAUACUUGAAAUAAUAACUGGUUUAGAUUUAACAUUCUUGGUUUAUAUUUCCCUUUCCCAAAGAUGUGGUAGAUAUUGCUCUAUUGCCUUCUGCAGUAAUUUUUAAAUCUGAGGUCAGCCAGAUUUUUUUCUUUCUUAUAGGAGAAUAGAUUCUUUCUUGCCCCCCACAGAAUGCUCUAUCAUUAAACUCCAGAAAGUUUCUCAGGUUAUGUGCUGAUCAUUCUGUAGCAACUUUUCCUGGUAUACAAUGUACUCAUUUUACCUAUAUGCUUGAUUUUUCCCUUAUUUCAAAGAAAUGUUCUUUUAUUAUAUCUUUGGAUAUUUUUUAUAUUCUUUAGAAAUGUCAACUAUACACACAUUGGAUCUCCUUUGGCUCUAUAUCAGUAAUGUUCUUCCAAAUACUUAAGUCUUUGUUCUUCUAUAUUUUUGUGUUUUUAGAAAUGGCUUGUUUUUUCCUUCUGAUACCUUUAAUGUGACCUUCAGUAAGGUAAUAGUUUCAUUUUCUCUUCUAUUUUUUGACUCUGAUGCAGCAUUUUUCACUACAUUUAUUUUCUGAUGUUUUUCCUUGAGUCCUACUAUGUCUUAUCUGGAUUCUUGUUUCAGAGGGGUUGUGAUUUUCAAAAUAAUUUUUAAUUUGAGGAAUACUAUAUUUUUCAUAAUUUUUGGCCUGAUUUGUGUUAUAGUCUUAUGAAUUUUUUAUCUGCCUUCUGCUUGCUAUAUACUUUUCCUUAGACUUUUAGUACUAUUUUUACAUAUGUCCCAGCUGAUUUUUUUCUAUUUUUCAUCUAUAAUACACACCUGAAUCGGCUAUUCAAUGAUGGAUAAUAUAUAGGAGAGUUAGGUAGAAUGCAGCAGAAAGUUUGAAUUUUAGACCAUGGCUUUUGAACACAUUCCCAUGAAUAUUCUCCCUGAGGUAUAUAGUAAACCAAUUCUGUGUUACCUAGAAGUCUUUCUGGCACCUAGUGAAGCCACAGGUUCUUUCUUUCUUUCUUUCUUUCUUUCUUUCUUUCUUUCUUCCUUCCUUCCUUCCUUUCUUUCUUUCUUUCUUUCUUUUUCUUUCUUUCUCUCUUUCUCUCUUUCUCUCUUUCUCUCUUUCUCUCUUUCUUUCCCUCUCCUCUCCCUUCCCCUCCCCUCCCCUCCCCUUUCCUUUCUCUCUCCCUUUCCCCACUCCCUCCCUCCCUUUUUUCCCUCCUCCCCACUUCCUUUCUUCCUUUCAUUCCUGCUUGUCUGCAGGGCUAUUUCCACUGAUAAUUUCUCUACCACCAUGUUUCACCCACAGCAACUCUUUUGGGAAGACAACACGUCUGUAUGCUUUCAUAUUCAGCUUGGCAAUAUCUGCCACUCUGUGGUACAAAGUAAGAUUUACUGAGGUUUCCCAGCUCCUGCAUGAAACCCAGUUGGCCAUUCAAGUGAAGAGAGAUUCUGUUUUGUCUUGGUAUAUCCCACCUACUGUGGUGAAUGCUUCACUGUGCUCAGGGCCUGUAGUGGCUUCUGUCUCUUGUGGAGCCCUCCUCUGUCUUUGUAUUAUUUUCACUGUACCUGGCAGCCGUUGUGCUUUAGCAUUGUGGUUGUUUCUUCAUAUGUUAUGGUUUGUGGUUAUGGUUGUUUCUUAUUGUAUUAGUUAUCUAUUAUUAUGUAACACAGCACUUCAAAACUUAGUGACUUCAGUCAACUGCAAUGUAUUACUUCUCCCGAUUCUGUUGGUGACUGGGCAGUUCUGCCAAUCUUAUCUGGGUUCAUUUACCUAACUUCAGUCAGCUGGUGGCUCAUCUGCAAUGGCUGAGACAGCUGGGAUGUCUGGGCCUCUCUCUCCACAUGUUUUCAUUCUGGCUACCUUCAUGGCAUGGUGAUUUCAGGGUUCCAAGAGGGUAGGAAGCUUCAAAACCUCUCAUGGCAGAGACUAGAAAUUGUCAAAGCAACACUUCUGCUGCAUUCCAUUAAUCGAAGCAAGUCAGAAGACCAGUGCAGUUUCAAGAGGUGGCAAAGUCACAUUGUAAUUGUCAUCCAGUUAUAGAAGGAAUUUAGCUCUUUGAGCAAACAAUCUAAAACGUUGUGCCCCAUUUUUUGAUUUAUGUUUCUUGACCAUGUUUUCAUUUGGUUUAAUGGUAAAGGAAGGAACAGAGACAGUUUUACACUGUUGCCUUUAUAGGAAGUCAGCUAUUAUUAGUUUUAAUGGUAAUUAAUAAUAAUAUACCUUCUUUAUAAUAAUAUAGCACCUUUUAUUUUUUACUUAUUAAAGACCAUAGGCUGUAACUUAAGAAGUGACUCUCCUGUAUGUAGUUAAUAGCUCCCAAUCAUAGUGAAAGGAUUUUGAGACCUGAAAUGGGAAAGCUUUUGCCAGUUUAUGUAGUAAAGGAUAAUGAAUUUUAGACUGGAGGGCAGGAAGACAGUCUUCUAUUUCUGAUUCUAAUCCUAGUUUUGUGAUCUUGAGGAGAUGAGUUUACUUUUGUCUCUCAUUUACUAAAAUGAAGAGGUUCUUAAACUUUAAGGUCAUAGAAGUUACCUAUGAGAUGUUAAACAUUCAAAUCCUGUCUCUCUUUCUCCCUUGAAAUUCUGACUCAAUAGGUCCAAGAUCUAAGAAUCUGAUUUUUUAAUAAGUAUUUUAUAUGAUUCUGUUGCGGGUAGUCUCUUGACCACGCUUUGGGAAAUACUUAACACCAUAGGUUUUGUAUUAGAACUUUGAAAACCUCAGAACCAGCUCCCAUUUGCAAAAUUCUAUUGAUUAUGAAAUGUAUAUUUAAAAUGUGUUUGUUAUUUGAGCAAUGAUAAACUAUUUAAUUACCUGCAUCACUUAGAAUGUCUUUGAGAAUAAACAUCCUAACUUGAGCUCAGUGCUUUCACAUCUGCCAUUAUGGAAAUAAAAGAAAAAAUCAGUUUCUCAUGUGCAUCAUUAAAAUCUGUUGAUUAAAAAAAUUGUAUGUUUAAAAAGUUCUCAUCUUUGCAUCAUACUUUUCUUCCUUGCCAUGCAAAAUGGAAAUAAGUUAACACUGUAAUUAUUCAUACAGAUAUGGGGGCCAAUCUUUGAUAAGUUAAAAACCUGUACCUCCCAUUGCCCAAUAUGUGAAAGUAUCAUGCUGUGUUCUAGGGAAGCCAUUUCUCAUCUCUCAGACAUACCCUAUCUACUUCAAAGUUAAUUCUAAGCAAUGAACAGUGGAAAUUAUUAAAAUAAAGUUUGCAUGUAUUAAGGUCCUAAGAUUAUUAGCUAAAAUAUAUUUUUUUAAAUGUGAGAAAAGAGAGUUCAAUGACUUUUAACAUUAAAUAGUUCAAGUGCAAUGACACUAACAUAUAAAUCAUCAUAGAUAGGCUUUGGGGUAAGGAUAUAUGAGUUAGUAACAAGCUACCCAGAACUAAAGAAUAUUCGCUUGCAGAGCAUUGUAAUUUUUUUUCAGACUUUGUGGGCCGCAGUUUUAUCUUGAGGGCCAUACAGAAAUAUACCAUGGGCACAUCUGGCCCACGGUAGUAGUUUUAAAACCCCUCUUUAUGAUAAAAAUGCUUGUCAAACUCUAAGUAAGAUUGAUUCCAGGUUUUAAACCUUGUGUUAGUAAUUUAGUUGACAGCUUUAUUUUUUGUUAGAGCAACUCUCUAUUGAGCCACUUGAUGGCAGCAUUUACUAUGUGUUAACAUUGAACAUUUUUUUUUUU